rnacentral:misc_RNA from 1 species
GUGAAUCAUCAAAUUUUUGAACGCAAAUUGCGACUUUUUCGGAAGGCAUGUCUGUUUGAGGGUACCAUUUAAGAAAUAAUGUGCAGCGUUUUUUGUUGCUCACGUUGAUGAGCUUUUAAAGUAUUUUUAAUUUUUGGUGGCGCAUAAUGAACAGCGUGAAAGUUUUUUUUAGUUCGAGUGUAGUAAAAUGUUUGCUUG